AACUGUUUUACAUCGCUAGAUGAUUGUGUACAUGUAUGUUCCCUAUUUUAAAGCCAAUUCUCUGAUAUUAAAAGUUUUAUUUUAAAUGUAACAUUAUUUUAUGAAAGAGACCAUUUUUUAGCAUCUUAUUAUUUAAAUGCAUGUGUGCUUAUAAAGUAGUAUGCACGGCUUUGUUCAAAUUGUAUUUAUUUCUGUUCUAGAAUCUAGACUGGAUUAUAAACAAAAAAUAUUUUUAAUGUAUUAAUUGAAAAAAUUGCUCCCUUUUUAGCAUAAUUAUGUUAUAUGUUAUUUUUAUUCGCUAAUUUUUUUAAAGUUCUUUUUAUGUUAGUAAUUGCUGAGAACUCCUGUGUUAAGGAUACUGAAAUAGUAAGUCAACAAUAAACUGUAGACAACACACAAUGUAUUGUUAAUUACCAAUUAAUACUUUUGUUGUGAUAUUAACUUGUACAAGAUUAGGUCCUUAAGCCUUGACGUUUUUAUAAAACAACACAUGGAAUUUGAAACCUACUGAAUUUGAAUUUUAAGAAACAGAUUCCUGUUCAUAAAUACAAUAUCAUUGUUAAGUCUGUAAAAUUAAAGAUAACCACACAAGCAAAUGGACGGUAUUUUAACAUUGUUAAGUGACAAUGUAUUUUGCUACAAAGGAUUAUAAUUGAUUGUGAUUUUCAAUAUAGUCAACUCUUUAUUAAUACAUUUUUUUGAUUUGGUUAUUGUUUUACUUCAGUGACUGUAGAUUUUUUUUACUCCGUACAUCAUAUUUGUGAUGAAUAAAUGAACAUGGAAAAAACAUAAGUUUUUAGACUUAAUGCAGCUGAGCUGCUUCUUUACAUUGUCAACUUUCAUAUGGUUGAAAUCAGGAAAGAUCUGGGAUCACAAAGGCACAGGCCGCCCACUAGGGGGGAGGUUGGAAAGCCUGAUUUGUCGGGUGACAAUUUAUAACGAUUUUAACUAGUUUGAACAUUUUUUAGUCCAACACUUGUAAAUAAUAGUUUUCAGUCAAUUUAAUUAAUUUGACAUAUGAACUUUUGCAAAAGUAUUUAACAAUUCAACAAAAUUGCACAUUUUUGUGUUUGAACUUACACUUCGGGAACUUAAAAGGAACAUGGUUCAGGACCCUUAUAUUUUGCUGUUGCUUCUUUUUCAAAAGGGAUUGAAAUGUUGAAUCCUUUAUAGUCUAGUUGUUUGCCUGACUAUGACAUAAAUUGUGUAUUUAGUAUCAAUUUUUUAAUUUCUCAACAAUUUUGCAAUAGACCUUUGCUUGGACUCUUUACAUGCUUUUGAAAUGCUAAACUUACUUUAUUAAAAAAAAUUGGAGACAAUGCAGUUUGUGAUUUUGGAAUAAAUCAUCAAAAAUGUUUGGCAUUCUUUCAGAAAAUUAAGCAUUUCAUUGUGUAUGGAUGCUUAUUUGUUUCUGUAUAUUCUGUGAGCAUAAGAAGCUUUCUGGCUGAAUUUUUUAUUUAAAGUGAUCGUAUUUUUGAUAAUUUUCAUGGUAUUUUUCAACAGUGCAUGCAUUGACAAAUUUUAUUUUUGGCCGAUUUCUCAAGAAGUCCAGAAACUUAAAGUUUAGUGAAAUAAUCAGUUUUAAUAAAACGAUUGUGUAUGCAGGUGUCAAUAUGACGUAUAAUUUAUCAAUACAUAUAAAUACAAGAGUUUAAACAUGAUAUAAAAUAUUGUUGAAAAAACAACAGCAACAGUUUAUUCUAAGAUCAAUGUCUCAUUGCAAUUUUUCAUAAUAGUGUUUUCGAAGAGGCGUUAUUGAAAACUGUGCUCAUGCUUAUUGCCUUUUUGUGACAAGGUAACAAGGCUGGGUUUACUUUUGUUUUCAUCUCUUAUAAUCAUGUUUAUGUAAUGACAAAGAUAAACCAUCAAUCAUAACUGGCUAAUGACUUUGUUCUCAGUUUUCAAUGACGCAGAUAUCCUAUCAUUUCUUUUAUCAGACAUGUGUUUUCAAAUUAAAAAGUCAUAUAAUUAGAAAAUCCAUAAUGUAAAACUAAUGUGUAUACCCAAAGUUCAUGCAUUAAAAUGUGAAAUUUGAUUUGUUUUGUUUAAGUUAGAAGUGUAAAACAUUUCUUCACUCAAUGUUGUCUGGGACUUCAUGUUUGAGACGAGUUACAUUUUGUGCAAUAUGUGUACAUGAAAAGAGAGCUGUAUUUACGUGUUGUUUUUCCUUUGCCCAUAGGCUUGAAUGCACAUUGUUUUUGUGUGGUGUAUGCCAUGCAUUAAUAUCACUAUUUGUUGACAUAAUUUUUAUGUAUGAAAAUGUGGUUGUUUAAGAUGUACACUAGAUCUAAUUUGAUGUUCUCAUGAAAAACAGGGCUUUAUGCAUGUACGUAAAGGAUCGUCCCACUUAGCCUGUGCUAUCAGAAUCAGCACAUUAUUUUUUGUGUGGUGUAUUCAAUGCGUUAAUAUCACUAUAUAUUUGCACUAUGUACAAACAUGUGGUUGUUUAAGAAGAACACUAGAUCUUACAUGAUUAGGCUUAAGGUUCAUAAUUGAAAUAAUUAUGUUUUCUUGAAACUUUACUAUUGUAAUGUUCUUAACAUAAACUGUUAGCAUUUUUGCUAUGGUUCUUUAAAUGUGAAUCUUAGUAAAAACAAAACAAGGGGCAGAAUAGAGUUUAUGAAUAUUCUGAUCUAUAUUAUACUUUUAAUGCACCAAAAUGUGCAGUCUGCACAGGCUUAUCAGGGACGACACUUUCCAGUUUUAUGGUUGUUUUAGUUUAUAGGAAGUCUCUCUUUUAAUGUCCCCCACUAUAGUAGUGGGGGACAUAUUGUUUUUUCCCUGUCUGUUGGUUGGUCUGUUGGUUGGUUUGCGCCAACUUUAACAUUUUGCACUAACUUUUGCUAUAUUAAAUAUAGCAACUUGAUAUUUGGCAUGCAUGUGUAUCUUAUGGAGCUGCACAUUUUGAGUGGUGAAAGGUCAAGGUCAUCCUUCAAGGUCAGAGGUCAAAUAUAUGUGACCAAAAUCGCUCAUUUUAUGAAUACUUUUGCAAUAUUGAAGAUAGCAACUUGAUAUUUGGCAUGCAUGUGUAUCUCAUGGAGCUGCACAUUUUGAGUGGUGAAAGGUCAAGGUCAUCCUUCAAGGUCAGAGGUCAAAUAUAUGUGGCCCAAAUCGCUUAUUUUAUGAUUACUUUUGCAAUAUUGAAGAUAGCAACUUGAUAUUUGGCAUGCAUGUGUAUCUCAUGGAGCUGCACAUUUUGAGUGAUGAAAGGUCAAGGUCAUCCUUCUAGGUCAAAUAUUUGGGUCAAAAUUGCUCAUGUAAUGUAACUUCUGCAAUAUUGGAGCUAGCAAUUUUAUAUUUGACAUGCAUGUGUAUCUCAUGGAGCUGCACAUUUUGAGUGGUGAAGGGUCAAGGUCAUCCUUCAAGGUCAAACGUCAUAUAGGGGGACAUUGUGUUUCACAAACACAUCUUGUUUUUAGAGAAAAUUUAGUUACGGCAGACGGUAUCUUCACGAUUAGCCUGUGCUACACAUGUUCAUACAGUCCAGUUUUCCCAGUACAAGGCUCUAAUGGCCAACUCAAUAACUGUGAUAAUUCCAGGAAAAACUUUAUGGCUCCAGUUUAAUUUGCUGCUCCCAAUCAUUGUUCCUUUUGUACUUCUUCACUGUGUGAUUUGCAAAUGUUGCUUCUGAUGUCAUGUUUUCUUUUAAGCACUGCCUGAUAAGAAAUUAAGAAAUACAGAGAUUUUCACAAUGCUUAUAUCAUUUUUAAAGAUUUGUAAAAUUAUAAGCAUUUGGAAAUGCAGUUUGUUUUAAUAGUAUUUUAGUUAUUUCAAGUCAGUAGAUUUUUCUUUUCUGGGAAAUAAUUACAAAGCCGUCGUAAUAAAAAAUGUGUGUUAUAUUCAGAGUUUCUUUUAGACAAGCAUGUCAAAUAAAAUACCUGAUGUAUUGUGGCAGUAGUAAAGCUGCUAUUUUGAUUUAAAAGCAAAGCAUGUUGCUGAGAAAUUGUGACUGAGAAAUUUGUGCUAUAAAUUAUAAACAUCUGCCUAAUGUAAACUAAUAGGUGGUGUAGAAAUCAAUUGUGAUCACUGAUCAAUUGUAUAAUUAUCAAAACAAACUGAUUUGUGACAUUUGUCAAUAAAUUAUUUGUACAUAACCUGUAGUGUGAUUUUAUCAAUGCAUGAUUACAAUGUGUCUCAAAAUUUUGAAUAUUUUGGGCAGGUGUAUAUAUGUAUUGCAUGUGAGAUUGUAUGCGUAAAUGAUGUGAUGAAAAUGUGAUUUUUGCCUGAAAAGUGUGUACAAAUGAAUUGCAAAGGUGUUGAAAAAUAUAUGCUUUUAAUCUCUCUUAUUUAUUCGUGAAAUGAUUAAGUAUCAUAUGCACUGAAUAACAAAUAAAAAUUGCAUACACAAAUCUGAACAGCUAUUAAUAAAUGAAUACAUUUUUGAAAUCUUAGACAUGUAUUUUUUACCUUUUUUAGAUUGACAGUGUAUAUUUUCUGAAUUCUACUUUCAAAAUGUGAGGUUUAUCAUGGGUUCAGAAUACAAAAUCGCUAAUAUAUCUAUAUAUAUAUUAUAUGAGCCUAUGCUGUGGGAAAACUGGGUUUAAUGCAUGUGCAUAAAGUAUUAUAGUCCCAAAUAAGCUUGUGAACUCAGCACAGGCUUAUCAGAGUCCACAUUUUACCCCUGGACUGCAUUGGCGUUAAAGGGAUACUUCUUUUAGCAAAACAAAUCCAUUAAAGUGGAAUGUUUUGUCCCUGAUAAGCAUGUGCGGACUUCAUAGGUCAAUCUGUGAUGACACGUUACACACAUGCAUUAACCCUUUCCCACUAAGAAGCAAAGUGAAAAUGGCUAUGUGCAAACAGCAUAAAACCAAAACAGCCUGUGAGUAACUCGCAGUCUGUUCAGGUUUUAUGCUUCUUGCUGAUCAUCAGUAUCUAAGGGUUGGAAAUGAAGCCUUUAAAACUUUAAUUUAGUAAAAAAAAGGUCUUACAUUAAAUUAAAUUUUCUAAGGGAAAACAAAUGUGAAAAAUACGUUUCUAAGUGGUAAAGGGUAAAUUCUGUUUUCCUGGAGCUUAUAAAAAGAAUUGAACUAUACAUUUGAUGAUGCCUUCAUCCAUUCUAUCAGGAUUAUUUCUUGUAUAUGAUACUUAAACAUUUCCUAGGUGUGGUUCGUAGCUCUGUUGUAAACACAAAGACGCCAGACACGUUGAUCGUAUGACUUACCGAAAUGUUGUAUUGAUAACCUCUUUGUGUAGAGUUUUCAUGUCAUUUGUCUGUUUGAAAACAUUUUUGUAUUACAAAUUUAUAUGAAUAAGGUUGUCUUACUGUUUUUUGUAUUAUUAAAAUUCAAAUGGGUUUCUAUUCUGAAAGUUAGUUGGCUAGCAAGUUUAGCAAAACAGAGUUAUUCAAAUGUGAUCUACGUCAUGCAAAAAUGGGUCUUAUGGCCAUUUGCGGCCAGCGUAGCAUCAGACCUACCUGUCCAUCAGCACAUUCUGUCUUGGAGCUUCCCUGUUUGCUAAUGUGACAACAAAACCUAGGAUGACUUAAGUGGAGUGCUUAGCCCCUGACCAGACUGUGUGGAUUUACAGGCUGUUCUAUAGCUAUGUUGGCUGCAUACGGCAUGGUACCCAGUUUGCUUGAUGCAGCUCAUUUAUCAAUGUUCAGCACAGGUAUUCUUGUAAAUACAAUUGGGCUGUGCUCUGUCUAAAGGGGUUUUAAUGCAUGUGCGUUAAGUGUCGACCCAGAUUAGCCUGUGCAGUCAGCUCAGUGCAGUCAGCUCAGUGCAGUCAGCUCAGUGCAGUCAGCUCAGUGCAGUCAGCUCAGUGCAGUCAGCUCAGUGCAGUCAGCUCAGCGCAGUCAGCUCAGUGCAGUCAGCUCAGUGCAGUCAGCUCAGGGCAGUCAGCUCAGGCUAAUCAGGGACAACACUCUCUGCCUGAACUGGAAUUUUGCUAAGAAGAGACUUUUUAUUUAUGCGAAAUACCAUAAAUGCACAAAGUGUAGUUUCAGACUGCACAGGCUAAUCUGGAACACCACUUUACGCACAUUCAUUAAACCCCCCUUUUCAUGGAGUGAGAUUCAUUUAUAAUAAAUCUUUUUUCAAGAAAUCUUUCAAUUCCUGUCCUAUUGAAAGUUUAUUCAGUGUGAAUUUCUAUACAUUUUUAUAUUAUCACCAAAAUGCACUCUUUUUUUAGUUUUUCUUUAACAAUAUAUAAAGUGACAAAGGAAAUUUUAAUUAUUUAGACAUUUUUAAAAGAUAUAACUGACAACACAUGUGCUAUUUUAACAAAAUAUUUUGUAUCAUGUAAUUGUUUUUUCAAAUUUGAGUGUUACAUGUCAAUGUACAAUUAUGGUAUCUGCUCUAAGAUGAAAAAAACAAUUCUUAUUUGCCAAGUUGUAGACAAACAUUUCACAUUCUUCACACCAUUUUUAAAACUUAAAGAAAUCUCCGUAUUUGUUGUUGUAUAUUACAAAAAAGUAUAAUAUUCAAAUUUCUGUCCAUUCUUAGGCUAUAAUUUUACUGCCAAACAAGCUGUUGUUGUUUUAUUAAUCUGAGGAAUAAAAUAAUAAAACAGGAACAAUGGAAAGCACCAUUUUAAGCUGUUUUAUUCACAUCGGCAAUUGCUUCAUAUAUAUUUACCAGGCUAUUCAUUUAAGCAAAAAUUCAUCCAGAACAUAAUGCAUGUUGUUUUUAGCUCACCUGAGCACAAAAUGCUCAUGGUGAGCUUUUGUGAUCGCCUUUUGUCCGUCGUGAGUUGUCCAUUGUGCGACGUCAACAUUUGCCUUGUUCACUCUCUAGAGGACACAUUUAUUGUCCAAUCUUCAUGAAAAUUUGGUCAGAAGAUUGGUUUUAAUGAAUUGCUUUAUAUGGCUAUAGUAAAAUCUUGUUAACACUCUAGAGGCCACAUUUAUUGUCCGAUCUUCAUGAAACUUGGUUAGAAGAUUCAUCCCAAUGAUAUCUUGGACGAGUUCGAAAAUGAUGCCGGUUGGUUGAAAAACAUGGCCGCCAGGGGACAGGGCAUUUUUUCUUAUAUGGCUAUAGUAAAACCUUGUAUACACUCUAGAGGCCACAUUUAUUUUCAGAUCUUCAUAAAAUUUGGUCAGAAGAUUGGUUUAAAUGAUAUCUUGGAUGAGUUCCAAAAUGGUUAAGUUGCUUGAAAAACAUGGCUGCCAAGGGGCGGGGCAUUUUUCCGUAUAUGGCUAUAUAUGGCUAUAGUAAAAUCUUGUUAACACUCUAGAGGCCACAUUUAUUGUCUGAUCUUCAUGAAACUUGGUCUGAAGAUUUAUCCUAAUAAGAUCUUGGACGAGUUCGAAAAUGAUGCCGGUUGGUUGAAAAACAUGGCUGCCAGGGGGCGGGGCAUUUUUCCUUAUAUUGCUAUAGUAAAACCUUGUUAACACUGUAGAGGCCACUUUAAUUAUCCAAUCUUGAUGAAAUAUUGUCAGAAGAUUUGUCUUAAUGAUAUCUUGGAUGAGUUUGAAAAUGGUUACCUUUGCUUGAAUAACAUGGCCACCAAAGGGUGGGGCAUUUUUCCUUAUAUGGCUUUAUAAGGCUAUAGUAAAAUCUUGUUAACACUCUAGAGGCCACAUUUAUUGUCUGAUCUUCAUGAAACUCGGUCAGAAGAUUCAUCCCAAUAAUAUCUUGGACGAGUUCAAAAAUGAUGCCGGUUGGUUGAAAAAGAUGGCUGUCAGGGGUCAACCAACAUGGCUGUCAGGGGGCGGGGCAUUUUUCCUUAUAUGGCUAUAGUAAAACCUUGUUAACACUCUAGAGGCCACAUUUAUUUUCCGAUCUUCGUGAAAUUUGGUCAUAAGAUUUGUCCCAAUAAUAUCUUGUUAUCUCAGUUGAGCGACUUUGGGCCUUUCAGGCCCUCUUGUUGUUUAUAGAAUCAUCAGCCAGAGUAAAUUGUUAAGUAAUAUUUUAGCUUAUAUUUUACCACAUCCUUAACAUUUUACAACACAUCAUUUUACAGCUCUUAACUGCUGCCUUUGACCCACAUUUUGUUCUUACAUUUUUAUCAUAUUUUAAGGUAUUCCUUUACUAUUCAGCAAUGGAAAUGAAACUAUUUCCCUGACUUGUCAUGUUUUUAUGUGGUUAUACUAUAUAUUAUAUACCUGUAUGUGUUUAAAUUUGUAUGGUGACUGUCGACAGAGACAAAUAAACCAAGGUAAUUAAAUGUU